rnacentral:rRNA from 1 species
GCCUAACACAUGCAAGUCGAGCGGCAGCACGGGAAGCUUGCUUCCUGGUGGCGAGCGGCGGACGGGUGAGUAAUGCAUAGGAAUCUGCCCGAUAGUGGGGGAUAACCUGGGGAAACCCAGGCUAAUACCGCAUACGCCCUACGGGGGAAAGCAGGGGCUCUUCGGACCUUGCGCUAUCGGAUGAGCCUAUGUCGGAUUAGCUGGUUGGUGAGGUAAAGGCUCACCAAGGCGACGAUCCGUAGCUGGUCUGAGAGGAUGAUCAGCCACAUCGGGACUGAGACACGGCCCGAACUCCUACGGGAGGCAGCAGUGGGGAAUAUUGGACAAUGGGCGCAAGCCUGAUCCAGCCAUGCCGCGUGUGUGAAGAAGGCCUUAGGGUUGUAAAGCACUUUCAGUGGGGAAGAAAGCCUUUCGGUUAAUACCCGGGAGGAAGGACAUCACCCACAGAAGAAGCACCGGCUAACUCCGUGCCAGCAGCCGCGGUAAUACGGAGGGUGCGAGCGUUAAUCGGAAUUACUGGGCGUAAAGCGCGCGUAGGUGGCUUGAUAAGCCGGUUGUGAAAGCCCCGGGCUCAACCUGGGAACGGCAUCCGGAACUGUCAGGCUAGAGUGCAGGAGAGGAAGGUAGAAUUCCCGGUGUAGCGGUGAAAUGCGUAGAGAUCGGGAGGAAUACCAGUGGCGAAGGCGGCCUUCUGGACUGACACUGACACUGAGGUGCGAAAGCGUGGGUAGCAAACAGGAUUAGAUACCCUGGUAGUCCACGCCGUAAACGAUGUCGACUAGCCGUUGGGUCCUUCGCGGACUUUGUGGCGCAGUUAACGCGAUAAGUCGACCGCCUGGGGAGUACGGCCGCAAGGUUAAACUCAAAAUGAAUUGACGGGGGCCCGCACAAGCGGUGGAGCAUGUGGUUUAAUUCGAUGCAACGCGAAGAACCUUACCUACCCUUGACAUCCUGCGAACCCUUCGGAGACGAAGGGGUGCCUUCGGGAACGCAGAGACAGGUGCUGCAUGGCUGUCGUCAGCUCGUGUUGUGAAAUGUUGGGUUAAGUCCCGUAACGAGCGCAACCCUUGUCCUUAUUUGCCAGCGAGUAAAGUCGGGAACUCUAAGGAGACUGCCGGUGACAAACCGGAGGAAGGUGGGGACGACGUCAAGUCAUCAUGGCCCUUACGGGUAGGGCUACACACGUGCUACAAUGGUCGGUACAAAGGGUUGCGAACUUGCGAAAGUGAGCUAAUCCCAGAAAGCUGAUCUCAGUCCGGAUCGGAGUCUGCAACUCGACUCCGUGAAGUCGGAAUCGCUAGUAAUCGUGAAUCAGAAUGUCACGGUGAAUACGUUCCCGGGCCUUGUACACACCGCCCGUCACACCAUGGGAGUGGACUGCACCAGAAGUGGUUAGCCUAACCUUCGGGAGGGCGAUCACCACGGUGUGGUUCAUGACUGGGGUGGAGUCGUAACAAGGUAGCCGUAGGGGAACCUGCGGCUGGAUCACCUCCUU